AUGAAACUGAAUAAAUAGUGUUGAUUGUCAGACUCAUUCACAAUAUUUACAAAGUGGAAGCCUGAAGAACACUUGACAAGAUGGCUAAAAUUGUCCCAAUUAUAAUUCUUAUCAAUCUUAAAGUUAUCUCUUCCCUCAUCAUCCAGCAAUCACCAGAACAUCUACUAACAACACCUGACCAGAGGGAAGUGAAGCUCAGCUGCCAACAUGGUGAUACCAACUAUCCCUACAUGUACUGGUAUCAACAAAAAACAGUCAGUGACUCCAUUGAGCUCAUUGGAAUGCUCCAGUACCAACGAUUUACUCCUGAGGAGAAGUUUAAACCACGAUUCAACAUGUCAGGACACGCUACAAGGAAUGCAUUUCUGCUUAUAUCCAGUGUAGCUCCUGAGGACAGUGCAGUAUAUUUCUGUGCUGCUAGUAAGCACAGUCACACACCUUCCCUUUCUGUUUAACAAAAAGCUUCACACUAAACACCUGCAAAUAAGAUCUGUUUUGUGAUUACUGCAGUCUGUAAUAAGAAGUGUUAUAGGAAUUGUACAGUAGAGGUCACUGAUAAAACUGGUAAUAUGUUAAAGAUUUAAAUAUCUUUUCAGGUGGUCAAGUGAAGUGAAGUGAAGUGAAGUG